rnacentral:ncRNA from 1 species
CGGCUUAAUUUGACUCAACACGGGGAAACUUACCAGGUCCAGACAUAGUAAGGAUUGACAGACUGAGAGCUCUUUCUUUUUUUUUUUUUUUUUUUUUUUUUUUGAUUCUUAGUUGGUGGAGCGAUUUGUCUGGUUAAUUCCGUUAACGAACACGUAGAAGGGGGCAAAAGAAAGGCUAUGGGGAAGGCUUGGCACCUGUACCUUUUGGACCGAGUCAAAGCCAAAUUGUACAGGUGCCUUACACAAUUAGCCAAUUCCGCAUCUAUCAAAAAUAUGUACAAAAGUGUUUAGCAAAAACACUUCAAAAGAAUAAGGGACGGUCAAUACG